rnacentral:rRNA from 2 species
UAGGGAAUCUUCGGCAAUGGACGAAAGUCUGACCGAGCAACGCCGCGUGAGUGAAGAAGGUUUUCGGAUCGUAAAACUCUGUUGUUAGAGAAGAACAAGGACGUUAGUAACUGAACGUCCCCUGACGGUAUCUAACCAGAAAGCCACGGCUAACUACGUGCCAGCAGCCGCGGUAAUACGUAGGUGGCAAGCGUUGUCCGGUUUUAUUGGGCGUAAAGCGAGCGCAGGCGGUUUCUUAAGUCUGAUGUGAAAGCCCCCGGCUCAACCGGGGAGGGUCAUUGGAAACUGGGAGACUUGAGUGCAGAAGAGGAGAGUGGAAUUCCAUGUGUAGCGGUGAAAUGCGUAGAUAUAUGGAGGAACACCAGUGGCGAAGGCGGCUCUCUGGUCUGUAACUGACGCUGAGGCUCGAAAGCGUGGGGAGCAAACAGG